GGGAGGGCGGCUGCGGGCGAGCGGCGGCGGCGGCGCUGCGGGGGCUGCGGUCAGCGCGGGCACAGCCGAGGGGCUGCGACUCCCGCACUAAUUGGCUCUUCCCCGGCCGCCUCUGCCGCUCCUGCAGCUGGCUGAGCCCUGGCUCUGGUUCAGCUGCUCUCCCUCUGAUUCAGAAGAGAAUACCCUAUGGGUCCUUAAUUCUGGUGCAGCUUCUUCCAAAACGCCAUCUUCUCCUCCUUGAGCAUCACACCCACCCUUGUGGUUAAAUCCAGCUGCAGAAAGCUCCCUUGAGUGUCAUCAGGAGGAUGGAGAGAAAGAAGACAGAACGUGGAGAUGGAAACUAGUUGCAAGACUAGCCAAAGCUCUGCUCAGAAGUCAUCUCUGCCAGGAAGCCACCCCUGCCCACCCCAGUUCCUACUGCACAGGGACUGCAGGAAGCUCCCAAGCUCUUGGGCAUCCCCAGAGAGACCUCUGGGAUCUGACCUGGUACCCAGCACUGCUCAAGAGGCAUCCUCUCCUACCCCUACUGUGAUGGGCAUCCCUCUUCUUCACUUACAAAAGGCAAGAGCCAGUUGAACUCCAGACUGUUGACACCCAAAAGUGGAACAUCAGCCCUGUGAAGGAAUUUUGGCCUGAGUAUCCUAAGUGUCUGGCUCACAGGAGAGGUUCAGACAGAAUGGGGCCUACUCACCUUUUGAGGGUCUUCCUGGGAGUGCAGUUUGAAGAAUCUCUGUGGGAAGAGAAGAAGAUGGGGCUAAAGGGAAUCUUCUGAGGCAUGAUGCCUGGAGUGGCUGGGUGCCAGGUCAGAAGGAUGCAGACAGCUGGGUCAGAGGCCGGAAGGAAGUUCUACGUACCAUCUUCUGGGAAACACGCAUCACCUCAGCCUCUGAUAGUGUUCUCAGGCAGUCUACCAGAAUCUUUGUGCUGUUGUGAUUGCAGCCUGCCAGCUGGGCAAUCUUCUGUGAAGAGAAGAGGUGCUUGAGGGUGUGCCCAUCCUGCCUCCCUUGCUGAACCUUAGGAGAGAGGAGACACUCACCUUGGCCACCUUCAGUGGAUCAGGAGUGAUGAAGAUCUGGAAUACUGCAGUGCCACUCUGGGAAAUGGCCCGAUGGAAGAGACCCCGGGCUAGGGGUGAUGUCAUCUGCAGGGGGAGGGGAGUGGCAGCCAUGACAUGCACAAAUGGGGACCACUUGGGCAGUUUGGGGUGCCUUUCUGGCCUGGCUGGGCUGCUUGAAGGGGCCCAGAGAGGGCAGAAGCAAGGAGGGAGACAGGAGUUCUGGGUUGGAGUCCUCAAUCUAGAGCCUGAGCCUUUCACUCUCUGGGCAUCCAUGUCCUGGUCUGUGGAAUGGCCACAGGGGUCCCCCAGGGCAUCUGGUGUUGUUGCAGUGGUUCUGCUGGUGUAACAAACCAAAAGGGCCUCCCCUCUGCUACUGGGCUAGGGAUAUGGGAAGGGGACCCUAUGGUUCCCAUGACCCCAGUUACCUGCGCUGAUAGCUCUUAGCCUUCCCCUGCUACCCAGGUUGGAGAGAAGAACCAUAUAUGGGACCCCCAUCCUGUCUCCUGGGCACCUCAGACUUCAUGUGCCCCAAACUUACUCCAGCCACUCCCCAUCUGGGUGUUGUCUCUUACCCACACCAUCCACCUGGGCCUUCCCUCCCUCCUCUGGUCAUCUGCAUGCUGCAGUUGGCCCUGUCCUGACUAUUUGGCCUCCUGCAUCGCUCCUCUACUGUCCCUCCUUCCUGCUUCUUUUUCAGAACUAGCCCCCAUUAGAUAUAACAUCCCUCACCCCAAGCUGGACUCCAAGCCUGUUUGUGCUUCAUUUUAACCCAGAUCCAGCAGACAGAGCCAACUUUAAAGGCACAUCUGAUUGUGUCACUCUCCUGCUUAAAAUCUUUGC